CAAAUCAUUUCAGACCUAUGAAUGCUUCAGUGUCUUUGGCACAACGUGACAGGCAAGAGAUACAGCGAAGCAGAUGUGUAUAUUUGACUCUUACAGACUUUAACAUUUAGAGGUUUAGGCUGGGAUUAGCACACUUUGUGGGGGUGUGAACAUGCUGGAUCAGAGGCCAUACAGUCAACUGGACUAAUCUUAGAUAUCUUAAGCAUUAUUUUGUGUGGAAAUUUCCAUGUGAGAUUUCUAAAGCAUGUUUUUUGGGGUUGGUAUGCACUGCGUGUUUGUGUUCCACAUAACAACUGUGUGUUUUUCUUCCUCAUUGCCUUCCAUUGGCUCACCUGUCACUAGAGUUGGCUCUCAUAAAAGCUACUCUCCAGCAUGUGUGAUCUCUCUUAUGUUCACACACCCCAGACAUGACGACCAGCAGCGUACCCUUGCACAGACAAAAAGGACGUUUUUACAGUAAUAAGACCAAAAACAUGACUUAAAAGUGGUUGGGCUGGAAAACAGUUACCUUUGCCCUAGUGUACCACAACACACACUUCUUAAAAUACUUAUACCUCUGUGUGCAGAUGUUCUAUCAAUAUGAUCCUAUUCCAGUUUUGUGUGCAGGGAAGCGUUCAAUACCCUCAAUGCUCCUCCUUGCAUGAAGAACUUCCAACUUCCAUGUUAGCUUGUCACAUAGAUAAUUUUUAACACUGGGUUGAAUGAUCUUAGUUGUACAUCAGUGUACAAAACAUUCAUGCAUGCGUUUCCAGCUGUAUGUAGGCUUUGCAAUUUGUAUUUAUAGAUUCUAAUGUAUAAUAAUCUGACAUUAAGAUGGAUAUACCAUAGAUAUGUACAUCACUGUUUUUAUUGUAACAGUUUGGGUAAUUUGCACAAUAUUAGACAUGGAAAAGUGAUUCAUGCUAAACUUGACUGUGCUCUACUUGAGUUUUUUAACGUUAAUUUUCCCCUUUUGAAAACUACUGUAGGCCGAUCACUGAUCCAUUUACUCUCUGAUGUAGUCCUUUGCAUUGAGGACAACCGACUAACACUUUGAUUCAUUGGUAAUCCUGCAGUACAGCAGUGUUCUUCUGUUGCCUCUGCAUUAUUAUUAUUAUCAUGUAUCUUUAUCAACUGCUGUAAAACUGUGAUCUAAGGUGAGGGGGCGUUUGCAGUCCCCUCAGCGACACCUGGUUGAAGAACAAUAUUAAUCAAAAGAUAAUCAUUAUUGAUGACUUGAUAAUGGUUGUACAUGCAUUACUGAGGUUGUGGUUUCAGGUAAAUAAAACAAUAUAGUAUUUGAA